rfam:Brassica napus, WGS project CCCW01000000 data, contig: 1321
GUUCCUUCGAGGACAUCCGAUAAAAUUGAAACUAUAUAGAGAAGGUUAGCAUGGCCCCUGCCGAAGGAUGACAUGCACAAAUCAAGAAAUGGUCCAAAUUUUU